rnacentral:misc_RNA from 1 species
GAUGAAGAACGUAGCAAAAUGCGAUACUUGGUGUGAAUUGCAGAAUCCCGUGAACCAUCGAGUCUUUGAACGCAAGUUGCGCCCGAAGCCAUUAGGCCGAGGGCACGCCUGCCUGGGCGUCACACGUCGUUGCCCCCCCCAUCUACUCCUUCGGGAUUGCGGGGGGCGGAUGAUGGCCUCCCGUGCGCCUCGCCGCGCGGUUGGCAUAAAUGCCAAGUCCUCGGCGAUGCACGCCACGACAAUCGGUGGUUGCGAAACCUCGGUUGCCCGUCGUGUGCGGUCGUCGCGCAUCGAGGGCUCGAAAAAAUUGCCGGGUUCCGGCUCGGCUUUCAACGCGACCCCAGGUCAGGCGGGGUUACCCGCUGAAUUUAAGCAUAUCAAUAAGCGGAGGA